UGAGGAAUAUUGGACAAUGGGCGCAAGCCUGAUCCAGCCAUGCCGCGUUCAGGAAGAAGCAUCUAUGGUGUGUAAACUGCUUUUGUACGGGAAGAAACACUCCUUCGUGAAGGAGCUUGACGGUACCGUAAGAAUAAGGAUCGGCUAACUCCGUGCCAGCAGCCGCGGUAAUACGGAGGAUUCAAGCGUUAUCCGGAAUCAUUGGGUUUAAAGGGUCCGUAGGCGGUUUAGUAAGUCAGUGGUGAAAGCCCAGCGCUCAACGAUGGAACGGCCAUUGAUACUGCUAGGCUUGAAUUAGUAGGAAGUAACGAAAAUAUGUAGUGUAGCGGGGAAAUGGUUAGAAAUUACAGGGAAUACCAAUGGCGAAGGCAGGUUACUACUAAUGGAUCGAGGCUGAUGGACGAAAGCGUGGGGGGCGAACA
rnacentral:rRNA from 1 species